GCAUGUCUCCGAAAAGCGGAAACCGCCUACGCGGGGAAAUCAGUCCACCGGACUGAUUUCUGAUCCCGCUUCGAUGCGUUGGAAAAUGCGACAAAUAUUCAAUCACCCUGCCACG
rnacentral:misc_RNA from 1 species